CUAACUGACACUAACAGAUGACUUGUCUUUUGCCAGGCACAGUGCAAUAAAACUUAUAUAUAACAUCCCAUUUAAUCAUCAUAACAAUUCUAAGAAGUGGGAACUCUCUUGUCCCAUUUUACAUGUGAGGGAAGUGAAGCAUGUCUUUGGGUAGCCAACACACCGCCAUUCUUAGUCCGUGUGUUUUGGGAAACGUGGAUCCUGCCUGACCAGAAGGGCAGAGACCGACAUGCUAUGGCCUCCGAAGAAAAAUUGAUACACAAAUAAACUGGUCUUUUGCCUAGACUGUGU
rnacentral:lncRNA from 10 species